rnacentral:rRNA from 1 species
UGGGAAAUCUGCCGAGUAGCGGGGGACAACGUUUGGAAACGAACGCUAAUACCGCAUAACAAUGAGAAUCGCAUGAUUCUGAUUUAAAAGAAGCAACUGCUUCACUACUUGAUGAUCCCGCGUUGUAUUAGCUAGUUGGUAGUGUAAAGGACUACCAAGGCGAUGAUACAUAGCCGGCCUGAGAGGGUGAACGGCCACACUGGGACUGAGACACGGCCCAGACUCCUACGGGAGGCAGCAGUAGGGAAUCUUCGGCAAUGGGGGCAACCCUGACCGAGCAACGCCGCGUGAGUGAAGAAGGUUUUCGGAUCGUAAAACUCUGUUGUUAGAGAAGAACGUUAAGUAGAGUGGAAAGUUACUUAAGUGACGGUAUCUAACCAGAAAGGGACGGCUAACUACGUGCCAGCAGCCGCGGUAAUACGUAGGUCCCGAGCGUUGUCCGGAUUUAUUGGGCGUAAAGCGAGCGCAGGUGGUUCCUUAAGUCUGAUGUAAAAGGCAGUGGCUCAACCAUUGUGUGCAUUGGAAACUGGGGAACUUGAGUGCAGGAGAGGGGAGUGGAAUUCCAUGUGUAGCGGUGAAAUGCGUANAUAUAUGGAGGAACACCG